rnacentral:rRNA from 1 species
GACAGAGGUCCCGAGCGUUAGGCGGAAUCACUGGGCUUAAAGCGUGUGUAGGCGGAUCGUUAAGUACCUUGUGAAAUCCCACGGCUUAACCGUGGAACUGCUUGGUAUACUGGCGAUCUUGAGCCACUUAGGGGCUACCGGAACAAAUGGUGGAGCGGUGAAAUGCGUAGAUAUCGGGAGGAACACCAGUGGCGAAGGCGGCUACCUGGACCAGCACUGACACUGAGGCACGAAAGCGUGGGGAGCGAACGGG